CUGGUUUCUCUUCAGACUGUUUAAAUCUUUUGCCUUUUACUAAAGAUUUUCUUGGAGAGGAACAAUUCUG
rnacentral:snRNA from 1 species